UACGUAGGGCGCAAGCGUUGUCCGGAAUUAUUGGGCGUAAAGAGCUCGUAGGCGGUCUGUUACGUCCGCUGUGAAAACCCAGGGCUUAACCCUGGGCUUGCAGUGGAUACGGGUAGACUAGAGGCAGGUAGGGGAGAAUGGAAUUCCCGGUGUAGCGGUGAAAUGCGCAGAUAUCGGGAGGAACACCGGUGGCGAAGGCGGCUCUCUGGGACGGUACUGACACUGAGACGCGAAAGCGUGGGGAGCGAACAGG
rnacentral:rRNA from 1 species